UAUUCAUAAAAAAUCCUUAAAUGAGGAAUGAUCAGCUUAUUAGCUAAUCCGCUGUUUAGGCUUAAUAAGCCGUUGAUAAGAACCAUGAUUUAUAAACGUUUAUUAGGGGCUUCUUAACUAAUAAGCAGAUUAGACGCGUUAUGUUGGCAUCUUGGCGCAUCAUAGACUAAAAUAUGGCUGAACAUUAAAUUAAAAAAAAAGUUUGACAGCAGCACUAGCGGCCAAUCGUAAUAUCAUGAAGAAGUUGAUUUACUAUUUUGACUAAUUUUCGGAAUUAUCUCUUAUUAAAAUAGCUUCUGUGCCACAAAAAUAAUUAAAGAUUGCUGCAUGGCCGGAAAUUUUAUAAAACUUGUUUCAAUAUUAUGUGGAAUGGAGUCGAAAGAAGUGGGGUUCUUUCAAACUAACCGAGAAGUGCAUAAUUAGCGAAGAGAAGAAGUCGAAGCCAGAUACCGUACCAGACCCCACUCGCCUCCGCAAGAAGAACCAUUGAAUAAUGGUUCAUGAGUUCACACUAAUUUAUUCUGGUUGCGGCAGAAAUUCACAACGGGUCAACAAAACGAAGUCCAUUCAGACUCACUUAAUCAGAUCCUGAAAGUACCAUCAUUAGCCACUGUUAUUGUUGAAUAACUCCAGGCUUUGGAAGAAAAGCUGUGGCCUGUGAACAGCUGUGAAUAUUGGUCAGAGAAGUGUAACUGACUCCGUACACUGCAAGUCCCAGCAGGAAAUCAGCAAGAAACCUAAAAGAAAAAAAACAUCAAAAUGAAAACCUAGCUUGAUUUAGGUUGAAGUAAUAAAAUUGUUCUAAUUUAA